rnacentral:rRNA from 1 species
GUGAACGCUGGCGGUAGGCCUAACACAUGCCGGUCGAACGGCAGCACAGUAAGAGCUUGCUCUUACGGGUGGCGAGUGGCGGACGGGUGAGGAAUACAUCGGAAUCUACUUUUUCGUGGGGGAUAACGUAGGGAAACUUACGCUAAUACCGCAUACGACCUACGGGUGAAAGCAGGGGAUCUUCGGACCUUGCGCGAUUGAAUGAGCCGAUGUCGGAUUAGCUAGUUGGCGGGGUAAAGGCCCACCAAGGCGACGAUCCGCAGCUGGUCUGAGAGGAUGAUCAGCCACACUGGAACUGAGACACGGUCCAGACUCCUACGGGAGGCAGCAGUGGGGAAUAUUGGACAAUGGGCGCAAGCCUGAUCCAGCCAUACCGCGUGGGUGAAGAAGGCCUUCGGGUUGUAAAGCCCUUUUGUUGGGAAAGAAAAGCAGCAGGUUAAUACCCCGCUGUUCUGACGGUACCCAAAGAAUAAGCACCGGCUAACUUCGUG